GACGAACGCUGGCGGCGUGCCUAAUACAUGCAAGUCGAACGCAGUGGGGACGGGUGAGUAACACGUGGGUAACCUCCCAUCAGAGGGGAUAACACUUGGAAACAGGUGCUAAACCGAUACUGAUGGAUGGACCCGCGGUGCAUUAGAUAGUUGGUGAGGUAACGGCUCACCAGGGCCACGAUGCAUAGCCGACCGGUGAGGAUGGUGGGCGAGACUGGGACUGAGACGCGGCCCAGACGCCGACGGGAGGCAGCAGUAGGGAAUCUGCGGCAAUGGACGAAAGGCUGACCGGGCAACGCCGCGUGAGUGAAGAAGGGUUUCGGAGCGUAAAACUCUGUUGUUAGAGAAGCGGUAUCUAACCAGAAAGCCACGGCUAACUACGUGCCAGCAGCCGCGGUAAUUC
rnacentral:rRNA from 1 species